GCCUCCUUCGAUAAUGCGAAAGGAAUGGGUAGCAAAGAAAGAGGGAAUCAUGCUUGACAAGUAAAGCAAGCAAAAUCAUCAGGAUAAUCGGCGGCGCAAAAGGUCACAGCUUUACCAUGCGCUCAUGUGCUGAUUUCAAUCCACAGUAUUCCUCGGACUCUUCAGUGGUAACAGUUCCUGUAAUGGCUGUGACCUCUCUCCUACUGUGCCGUGAUGUAGGGCGGACAAGGUCGACCGCCGGCUGCACUGCUUGGUCGAUCCUUCUACGAAGUCGGCGGGAUUUCAAUCCAGUGCUUGUAAUUUUGUUGGACUGGGGAGGUGAAUGCAAAAGACCAAGCUCUGCUAACUUAGCUUCGUUUCUGGCUAUGCAUGUAGCACGCUCUUCCUCAAGGUCCAUCAAAGAUCGUAAUGAUAUCGCAAUAUUGCCUAUAUGAAUGACGAAUGUAAGCAGGAUGUAGUCAUUUUGGACUGAUGUAUGAAGAUGUGUACGGCGUGAUUGCAAGCGACCUGUACCAAUGAGGCAAACCGUUCAUGGAUUUUGAGGUGUAAUUUAUUACAGAAAAGGUUGCCGCAUUUGCAAGACUUAGGCAUUGUGUGAAUGUGGACGGGUCCUGCAGGCCAAGACCCCGAGUGCCUAUGCCCCGGAGGGGAAGUUGGCUAACGAAUUACUGCGAGGCCAGGAACACCAAUUGAGUUAACUAUUGCUUGUCUUUA
rnacentral:lncRNA from 1 species